rnacentral:lncRNA from 1 species
CUGGUGUGCAACUGAAGGGAGGAGGGAGCAGGCGUUCCUCUGCUGCUGAAGAGGGCUGUGGAAACUUAAGUCAUAGACAUGCUUCAGUGAGAGGAUGAGGAUUUGCCCAGAUGGGAAGCUUCAAGUGCAGAGGCACUUGUACAUCUACUUAUCUUGAGUCUCAAUGAUGCUGUUUAUGAGUGAGCUAUUCAAAUGGAGGAAGAAACCCACGGAGAAGGAGAAAUAACAGGUCGGAGUGAUUAUGUACAGAAGGAUAGGCUCUAGCAGGAGUCCAGUGGGAAAGAAGGAAGGGAAUACAAUUAAGAAUUAUUAAUGGCAGAUCUCUAAUGAUUUCACUGGAUCCAAAGGAACAGGGCAAUACUGAGUAAGAAACACUUGAUAUACGAAAAAAGCGUGAGUGCGAAGGAAAAUACAUCAUUCUACAGAUGUUGACGGACUCUGACGGUGGGAAAGCGUCCCUCAAGAUUGAAUUGGAGUAGAAGCUGACCCUCCCACUUGCCCAGAGAUCCCCUAGCUGGUUUCAACACACAUGGGAACAAGAUAUAUUCAUGGAAUGUGCCUUUGAACCUGCAUUCAAAAGAACUCAGACAGAGCAGAAAAAUCAAACGCCCAGAGAGGUCAAGAUGUCUGCAAAGAGACACAGAGUGAUGCAAUGGAAAUCCUGUGUGGAGGUCUCCAGAAGGCUAAUUUCUGAAGCAGUGUUCUAUCCACAUGACCGUGCUGCUGCUCAUUAAGAUGGUACCUCUCAUUAAGAUAAAGCAUAAUCAUUAAAAAUCCUUUAGCUUGCUCACAUUAACUACCAUUGUGCGUCACAGGUCUAAUGCUUCAUGAAAGCUCAGAGUGAAUUAGACAUUUUAUUUAAGUGCUACUUAACUAAAAGUUAAAAAGUAUAAUUUUCUAUUGCAGCAUAAGAACUGGAGAGACUAAUUUGGUGUGGUUGUUAAAUUUUACAAAGCCUGAUUCUCAAUUUUCAAAAAAUAUUGUACAUUUAUUUAUUGAAGUGAAUGAAACAUUUGCUAUAAAACUAUUCAACGGAAAGUUUUUUAACAAAGCAUAAUUUACUUUUCAUUUACAGAACAAUGGAAAGUAGAAAGAAAUCUCCUCCAAGGUAUUAGAAUCAUGUACAGUUUCAUAUUUGACUAAAAAAUUAUUUCCCCAGCCUGUUUUCUCAACACUAAGGAUAUGCAGAAAAGUAUCACUUGCAUUCAUCAUGAAAAUUACAGAAAAAUGACUGAAACUACUGAGAACAUUAUUAAAUAAAACAUAUACUUAUUAUCUGU